AUCUUAAAGGUCGUCUCUAAGGGAAGUCGCCCCGGAGGUGGUGCAAUAACGAGAGAGUACUUUUGAAUGCCUUCUUCAUCUGAGUUGCAAUGUUUAAGCAUAUCAUCUUAUCUGCAAAAUGAAAUAUGAUAUUGUGAAUAUUAAUAGUUACUCUUGCUAGAAAAAUGACAAACACCCAGAAGAUUCAAGAGAUCUCCGCACUCACCAAAGAUAUUCAUACUCUAGCCACCUCAAAUAGCGAACGAGUUUUGAUGUUUCACUGUUGAGGAUUUUUUUUUGUUGAUAUUUUGAAGAUAACAAACCCUUGUGUAAAUAUAAUUAAGAUUAUGAUCUUAUUUGCUAUUUGAUGUGUGUUAUUGAAUAUAAAUAAAUAACACAUUCAUUCGCAUUCAAUAUAUUGUACUAUGGUAUAAUGAUUCUUAAAAGAAUAAUAUUCCUCAACAUGACAUAAGAAGAAAGAAUAUGAUAUAAGAUGCAAAAGUCGAAGAUACAAAUCCAAGGACACAAAUCCGAUGAUAGAAGUGUCGAGGAAAAAAGUGACAAGAAUACAAAUACGAGGAUACAUAAGUUACUUGAGCAUCAAGUAACAUAAAAGAUAUUUUAAAAGUGAUUGGAUUUGACACUAUGCACUUUAUAUCAUAGGAUACAAAUGAAUAGUAAAAAAUAUUUAAAGAAUAGUACUAGUUGUCUUUUUAAAUUUCUAAUUUCAAGAAAGAUGAUUUUCAUGGAUAGAUUCAUAUAUAACAAGUUGCAACGUUUUCUUCAUCCAAAUUUCAUUUAUAAAAGGAACACUUACUUAUUGUUGAAGAAAAUAUUGUACAUAAAAAGGAGAGAAAAAAAUCAUUAAACUCUUCAAAAACUUAUACAUAUUAUCUUUCUUAUAGAAAAUCAUCACACCUCAAAAAUCAUAAACACAUUUCAUUAAAAAUGUUUCUACAAAUCUCUUACCAGCAAUAUGGUGAAGUUUUAGUCAAUCUUUAAUCCAAAUAAAAUUAUAUAUCCUCAACUAAUACAAAAUCUUAUUCAUUACAUUGUAAGUUUACUAAAGUUAUAUUAAUCAAUUUCUCGUGACAUUUCUAAUAACUUCAAUUGAAAUCAGAAUACUGCCUCUAAGUUUAGAUCUGGAAAAAAUUUCAAAACCAACAAAAUGUAUACAUGUAACUGAAUCAUUAAGUUGACAACUACGACUCACUACGAAAAAAAUACAUUUACUUUUAUUGAAUUAUCAUGUAGCAUAUAUUGUUCAUCGUGUAAAUAUAUUAAGUUACUACUUAACCUUAUUUCUAUGAAGUCAUCAACCAUAAAUAAUAAUAAAUAAAUAAAAAUUUAAGCCUAUGAAUAUAUAAGGCACAUGUUAUAUGUUUCUUUUAUGCUCCACAUCUCAUUACAACCAGCAUAAUAUUUCAGCAACAACAAUAAUGUAGAAACAAUUAAAAACUAAGACAAAGGAAAGGAAAGAACCACUGGUAGCAGAGGUAGUGCGGUGAGAUGGAAAAAAAAUAUAGUUGCAGUGCAGGGAUGGUGUGGAUGAACUCGGAUUUGUGGCGGUUUUGAUUUUUGCAGCACUGGUUUUUAUGUUUCGCGCAUCGGUGGCGAUUCCGUUUUGUUUUCUAUUUUUCCCAUGAUGAUGUGUUGUUAUUGCAGGAGGAGGAUUGUUGCUUAUAUGGUUGUUCGCGGUGCGGGUUGGGCGGUUUUUGCGAUAAAAAUCACCCGAACCGCAAGAGAAAAAAGCAUGCGGUUCGGUUUGGUUCGGUUGACUUUUAGAAAUAAAACCAAACCAAACCAAACCAAAUCAAUGCGGUUUGGGUUUGGUUCGGGUUGGUUCGGUUUUUUUAUAAUAUUUUUAUUGAGCCAUAUAUACUCCUAUAAAUAACGACAUAACUUUGGUUUAGUCAUUCAUACAUACUAAAUAACAUCAAAAUUCGUCAUAUUAGACAAAAACGUUUCAUUCAAUAUACAAAAAACCAGAUUAGACAAAAGUGAAAUAAAAGACCAAUAUAAAUAGUAGCAUAAAAUAAUAUCAAAGACAUUAAAUAAAACAUAAAAAAAACAUAUGAGAUGAGAGAUUAGAGAAGAUGAAAAAAGAAUAUAAGAGAUGCGAGAUGAGAAGAAAGUGCAAUAAAAACGUAAUUGGAAGAGAAAAUAGUAACAUAAAAGAUAAAAAAGAAAGACAUAAUAAAGGACUUAUUAGAGUAUAAUAGGAGAGACCUACAUGAAAAAGAAGAUGAGAAGAAUGUGUGAUACUACUAUGAGAGAUUUAAGAAGGUUGAAAUUGAAACCCUAAGUGUGAUUAAGAGAAAAUCGUUUUGUAAUUGUAAGGUUAAGGCAUACUAGGUUUGAGGUUUGGGUUGGAUGUGGGAUAAGUGAACUUUGGGUUGUAACAUAAUGUGGUUUGGUUUGUUAGUUCGGUUUGCAAAAAUACAAACCGCAAACCAAACCAAACCGUGCGGUUUUAUUAAAAAAUGACCCAAACGAAUCCGAACCAAAUGCGGUUUUUUGCGGUUUCGGUUUGGUUUGGUUUGGUUUGCGGUUUUCUAUUUGGUUGGUUUGGUUUUGAACACCCCUAGUUGCUUAUUUGUUAUUUGUUGAUGUGUUUGGUUGAGGAUUGGUGUAAAUGAAUGUGCUUUUAUGUUCAUGGCAUUGAGAGUUGUUGGUGGAGGCUUUUUUUAUGAGUUUUGGGGAUUUGUAUCUUUCAGAAGAAAACACAAUGUGAAGGAGAAAAAAAUUUGGAGAUGGAUAUGCUUCAAUGGGUCUGCAUAUAGGCUGUCAGAUUAGGAUUCACCAUUAUUAUCGGAGUUCGGAUUCUGGUUCUUAUCGGAGGUUGGAUUCUGGUUCUGAGAAGACAAGUAUUUGUUACAAUGAUAUGUGAAAGAAGUGACAAGUAUAAAGAACAUAUCUUAAAGUUGAAAUGCGAUGUCUCCAGUUCGAGGAAAUGUGAAUGUUCUUUUAAGUUGUGUGAGUACUUCAAGGCAAAUGCUACAUGGACAUUUAAUAUGAUUUGUGGUAUUCAUAACCAUGGUCAUCCAAUUGUAUGUUGUCUAAUUGUAAAGAGAAGAAAAUUGUUUAUGACAUGACAUUGAACAUGAUUCAUACCAAAAACAUAUUAUCCAUUUUGAAAUUGAUGGUAUUACUUCUAUUGAGAUGACUUUUUCAGUUGGGUUUUCAUUUUUGGAAAGUGAAAAAAAAAGUAUAAUGUUACAUGUGCUUUAGAAAUGUGUCUAAAUAUGUUGAAAGACCAAGAAAACAUGCCAUGUGUAAUUGUCACUGAUCGCGAUAAUGCAUUGAUGAAUUCAGUUGCAAAGGUGUUUCUUAUAUCAUAUGCUUUAUUGUGUAGGCAUUAUCUAACAAAUAAAUGUGAGAGAUAGACUUAAGCAUGUGGUAGGGACCAAACAAAUCAAAGGUGAAGACAGGAAUAUGGUGAAACCUAGUGUGAUAUUGGAAAGCAUAAUUGAUUCCUACAAUGUUAUAAUAGAUUUUUCUACUGAGGAGUUAUAUGAUGAAUCUAUCAUACAUUUCAUAUGGGUGUGUGGCAUAUCCAAAUUUUUUGAAAUAUGUGAAAGCAUAAUUUUAGACCAAAUGAACGAGAAGAUUGUUUGUGUUUUGACCAAUUUUGAAAUACUACAACUAAUAGAGUUGAAUCUGAUAUUGUAUCAUUGAAGAAUUGGUUGAGAAAUAGUAAAACUGAUUUGUGUAAGGGUUUGGAAUCGAUGAACCAAAUUAUUCAAAUCAACAUAACAAGAAACAAACAUCAUUUGGUUGUAGCAUCACAGUAUUAUAACAUAAAUCCAUAUACAAAACAAAUGUAUUCAUAGUUGGUUUGCAGUAUAUCCCAAGCGGGAUUGAACUUUUUUUAUAACGAAUAUGUGUGAGCAGAGAAAACAUGUCUAGAUAACUUCAAUUGUGUUUGUACAUUUAGAAGAACAUACGGUCUUUUGUAUCCUGGUUCAAUUUCCAAGAAGAUGAGAGUUGAUAAACCCUUACGUAUGGAUGAGGUUUACACGCACUAGAAAAGGCUUCGAUUUUAAUAUAAUGGUAUGGUAAAAGAGAGUAAAUCAACUAUAUUUACUAUGAAAAAUGGUAGGUAAGUAAAGAGAGAUUUUUGAAAACUAAUUAUAACAUUAAAAUGCACAUCAAGGAUGAGCUGUGAAAGAUAGCCUACCCAAAAACCACAAAUAUGAAACCACCAGCAAAAUCGGAAAAAACAAAGGGUGCUCCUAAGAAGUUCAAAGCAACACCAAGUGGCAAUUCAAGAAAGUGGUAUUCGGCCUAUUUCGAGCAAGUCAAUUAACUUUUUCUAGACUUUCCAAGUUCAUAGUCUAAAAGAAGUUCAUUUAAAGGUGCUCGCAUUACCAAACCACCGUCUUUACCACCUUUAUCACCUUUACCGUCUUUACCAAAAAUGAUACACAUUGAAGAGAUGCAGGUUUUUAUGCACAAAUACAUUGAUCGGCUUGUAGAUGUUAAAGGUAAUACUAACUACGGUUAUCGCAUUGUUUUAGCUUCCCUGGGUUAGGGAGAGGAAAAUCAUACAUUUGUCCACCAGCAUCUUAUCAAAGAGAAAGCUCAUAAGGAAUCAUGAAAAAAAAUAAACGGGAAAAAAGAACAAUAUGAUAAAGUUCAUGAAUCUCUUAUUCCUUAUAUUAGUAAUGCAGCAUCAGAGGAAAAUGGUUGUGUUUCUCUAAAAUGGAUCAUCUUAUAGCAAGUGCAUAUAAUAGGGUGUGUAUCGAUUUGAUAAUAUAUGACUUUUCGGAAAUAUUUUUUCUACUUUGAAGUGGUACACCUCAAAAUCCAGUAGGACACAUUAUGUGUAUUGUGUGACUUUCAAAAUCACAAUAUUUUGUUCAAGAUUUUUUGAAAGCAUGAUGUCUUAUACCACAAACAUCCCUUGAAUGCACAUCUUAUUCCACAAAAGAAGUUGAAGCUUGGCCAAACAUUUAUUGGAUAUGGUGGAAGAGUUUACAAAGUUGAGCAACAUUAAAAGAUAAUGGAAUUAGGAAAACUCAAAGAAGGAACCACCCAUAGAUGUAGAUUUAGGUGGUGACAUAUCUUUUGAUGCAUUUUAGUUUUAUCUUACAAUGUAUUUAAGUGGUGACAUAAUGUUGUAUGUAAUGUUAGUUUGUUAUUUUCACCGAUGUAAUCUGGAUACAUUUUGAUGUGUUUUAAUGUUACAAUAUUAAAUUUUAUAAAUAUUAGACUUAACAUUUUGUAUGUCAUAAAGCUAGUUUUGUCUAUUUGUUAAAACAGACUUUGUAAUUUGGACUCUGUAAGGGUGAAUUCGAAUUUCAAAAUCUGGAGAAACCUCAUAUGUGUUCUAAAAUUGGGGUGAAUUUGGGAUUAAAUAUCCGAACAAGCCCCUUUUUAGUGUUAUUACGUACAUAAUAGGAUGAGUUCGAAAAUUAAAAUUCAUAUUUACCUUUAAGACAUUAUUGUUUUUUUAUGGUGUAUAUUCAUCUAAAAUUUGUAUAAAUAUGUCUCGUAUCUUGUUAACAAAAACACGUUAUAAUGGAAAAAAAAAUAUUACUAUACACAUUUGUUUACUUAAACGGUAUGACGCCUUCUUUUGAAUUUAGGGUCACAUAGGAUACCCCUCUUGUAGGUCUAAAAUCCAAAUUGGAGAAUCUCUUGCACUACACAGAUAAUCAAAGAGUGGUUAAGAUCGAGUAUCGUUUACUCUCGUUGAUAAAGGGAAGACCAAGUUUAGUAAGUUUGAGUUGAAGACGGAUGCAAAUGUAAGCGUUAUGUAGAGUAUAUUUCAUUGUUACACAACUAAGGGUCCAAUCGAGGUGGAUGCGACAGCGGAAAUAUCAACCAACGAUAUUCUAAAGAUGUUGAAAUGUCCAUAAUCAUUUGUUCAUGAUGAAAUAUCAUGUUAGAUUUCUGUUAACAAAUAUCUAUGUUAUGUUAUGUUUUUUUUUUUUUUUUUUUUUGUGAUAACAAAUAUCCAUAUUAAGUUAUGAUUUUCUUCAUACUCUAUCUAAAAUUGUUUAUGUUUUUUGUGAUAACAAAGUAUAAUCCAGAUUUUGAAAUCUGGACAAACCCUAUAACUUUAAUUUUGCCUGAUUCUAAGAUUGUGUUUGGUGUGGUGUGUUGAGGCGCGUCUGAAUUCCAAUUUUUGUAUGUUGUUAAUCCAUAUUUCAAAAUCUGAAUACAUAAUUACCUAUGAUUUUGCUUGUUUUCAUAGAGAAAUUGUUGCGUAUUUGGCAUGUCUGGAUUUCAAAAUCUGAAAUAUAAAGAUAUUUUUUGAAUUUUGCUAGGGUGUGUGAGAAAGACAUAGGGUGUAAUGAGUAAACCAAUAGAGAUUAUAAAAAAGUUAUUCAUUCAGUGGCUCGAUUAGCUAUUAGUAGAAGGGUUUGCUUGUUGCACCCUUAGUGGUGCUCAUGCACCCUUGUAAAAAAAUCAAAAAUGUCUAUAUAAUUCAGAGAUACAUUUCCGAACGCACUCAUCCACACCUCAUCCACUCGUAAGUGAGGCACACCCUCAUUUUGCCAAAAAUUAGUACAGAGAUGCAUCUCCCUAACAAUUACGAAAAUAUAUGGGUUUUAAGUCAUAUACGCACUAAACAUUCCUCAUUCCUCAUAUCCAGCAAAACAUACCAAAAUCUCUUCUCAAGUCACUUCUCUAACACCCCUAAAUCCAUCAUUUCUCAAGUCAUUGCUCAAAUGUUUCUACUCCAUUCAAUCCAAGUACUUAAUCAAUCACUAUUAAAUAUGCAUUCAACCUAAGUGCUUUCGCUACACAUUUGGUAAGUUUUUUUUAUUUCCGCCUUUUUUUUAAUUUUCUCUACAUGCAUUACUAAAUACGUACAUUAGGUUGUUUAAGGUACAUACUAUAUAUGUAGUUAGACUCAUAGUUAUGUAGUUUAUUGAGACAUGUGUUGUCUUCCAUUUUUGUGUUCCCUGUGUUUUCUGCCAUUUUUGUGUUUUCUGUGUUUCAGGAAACUACGGAAGUUCACUUCCGUAAUUUGUAUGAAUUUGAUUUUUCAAAAAUACGGAAGUGCACUUCCGUAUUUUAUCUGCAUUUUUUAUUUUGAUGUCUUUCAUUUGGGUUUGAUUUUUUUAUGUUUUGUCUGGUUUAAUUAUAGGUAACAUGACUUACAACCAAGAACGAUUAAGACACGAUAGAGUAUCCCAUCAUACAUUUGCUCGCGGGAAGAGAUCCUGACCCUUGCGAACAUCGGUUGGUGUCAGUUCAUUUGAUGCAGAAGUGUCCAUUCGUUGUUGCCCCAUAAGCUCCACCAGUCCAGGUUGUUACACAUGUUGUCGAUGUUAUCAUUCCUAACGAAUUUGGAGGAGGCUCAUACGAUACUUCACUAUUGUCUUUAUUUGCAAACCAUGUUGCUAGGCACGUAUGGGACGGAGAUGUGAAAUUUAUUUGUAUUUAUUCUUUGAAACAUGUGUUAUAAUAUUCAAACUUUCUAACGAUGAUGUAUUUUUUGCAGUAUUGUGAUGCUUUAAAAUGCAUAAGCCAUGGUAGGAAGAUUGUGAGGCUGCAACAGCCAGAGGAGCAAUGGUUUUGUGAUGUCAUGCAACCAUCUAGAAUUCAAGAUUUAUGCAUGAAUGAUUAUAUUGUUAUUAACAAUGGUAUGCUGUUAACUUUCGUUGAGAGAUGGUACUCAGAGACGUCGUUUUUUCAUCGUUCACAUGGUGAGAUGUCCAUCACAUUAGAUGAUGUGUCAUCCUUCCUACAUCUUCUAAUUAGGGAAAAAUUAUUAGACCACUCUAAAAUGACCACACCUGAUGCACUGGAAAUGAUAGUGACCUAAUUUGGAGCUAACCAAGAGGAUGACCUAAAGGAGCUGGAAGACACUAUAGGGUGUCAUGCUAGAUUUGAAUUUCUAGAGAAGUUGCAUAUACACAACAUGGUUGCGGCAGUGGAGGCCAAUGGUGAUGAUGCGCAGAUUAUGCAUCAUAUAGCAUAUGCAUGAGGUCAUACCUCAUGUAUUUGGUUGGCACGUGCAUACUUGUGAACAAAAGUUCUUAUUAUGUAGAUGUAUUUUACCUUAGAUACUCUGUUGACUUCGACCGAAUUCAUGAGUACGAUUGUGGGGACGCUUGUUUGGUUUACUUGUACUCGAAGUUAGCUAAAGGUUUUCUUUAAGUUGCAUGUUGUUUACGAUAAUAUAUUUGCACCUUUGUUGUUACUAAUAGUUCAUAACAUUUGCGUUACGUCAUUACUAAUAUUCAUUUUGUACAAUUUUCAGAUAUGGAUCCUCCAUCAUUUUCCAUGCAUCUUCGACUGGUCAUAUAUUGAUGACUACUCUAAGGAUCAGCCACAUGGUUACACAUUCGUCCCGCUUAGAAAGAGUUAGGCGGCCGAUCCCUUUAAAGUGCUUCUUGAUCGCAUUGUAGUAGAUGAUAUAUGUUAUACAUCGUAUGACGAUCUCCAUCAUAUGCGUCCUUUGGAUGACAUUGCCAUCUACACUUGAUGGUUGGCGUGUGAGUGACGCCUAAUGUAUAUGCAUCUGCAUGUGCAUGUAUGUUCCUCCCACUAUGGUCCGCUGAGACGUUAAUGUGAUGUAUGAUGAUUUCUAUAAUCAUCUGGUACCAAAGGACGUACAAAGUGUGUCAUAUCCUCACCAAUGGAGUAGUGCAUUCAACUACAUCCAAUUGUAUUUAAGAGUGUCACAUCUUUACAUGACACUAAAUGCUCACGGAGAUCCACCUAGGUCAGCUCAUCAAGAGAUAUUAUAGGAUAAGCAGGUUAUGGCAAAUCAUGUUGUUGAUGUUUACAUGUAUGUUGUCGUAUUAUGGAUAUUGCACAAACGGGUAUAGAGAUAAGAGACUUUUCGGAAGGCACUUCUAGGAAGGCAACUGUGGAUGUCAUUCUAUCUGAGACACAUCUGACAUUGCAGUACAAGAGGCAGAGAAUGAAUAGAGGGGAUCAGAUAUACUCAAUAGUAUUUGAUAGUAUUUGUAUUAUGGAUUAUGAUAGUAUUAUGACGUGUAAUUUGUCAUUUUUAUAAUAUUAUGGAUUCUCGAUUGAUUUUAAUAUAUGAUAUUUUAAUCUAAUUACAGCAAUGUAUGUUUUAGUUGAUAACAAAUAUAUUAUGAUAAUAUACUUAUUAUAAAUGGCAUAUUACAUCAUUAUACUUGUUAUAUUCGUAUAUUUCUUAAAUUUUACUUGCCUAAGGGUCAUUACAUAAAUAGACUUUCGUAAAUUUUAUGGAAAUAUAUCUCCAAAUUAAUUCAUGAUAAAAUGAGGGUGUGACUCACUUGUAAAAGAAUGUCCUAUAUAGAGUGCGAACAAAAGUAUCCUUUCAAAAUAGUGAAAGACAACUUUGAGUAUGUAUAGGAUGACUCUUCACGACCAAGGGUGAGAAGAAGAACCCUUUAGACAACUCAAUAGGGUUUGAUUAUGUAGUUUUUCUUUUUAAAUUGUCUAUUGGGCAAAUAAGGAUAUUCUUAGUAAUAUUUUUCAAUUUGAUCAAAAACAGAAAAAUAAGUGAAAAAAAUGUCUAGGUUGGUCUACACGAUAAACUAAUGGUUGCAAAUCACAGCAUACACCUUUAACAUCCAACGACAAUAAUCCUUGAUUGCAUCUUUUCAAAAUUUCAUUAACAUAGUCAUCUAGCAGUUCGCUUUUGACAUGAAAACAUCAGGUUUUGUAAUUGAAAAAUGACUUGAAUCAUUUUUGGCACAGGCCGAAUUUGCAGGAGUAUUUAAAUCUUUUACCAUUUGAAAUUUUGACAAAAAGUUAAUCAAAUGAUAAAAGACCUAAAUACCCCUACAAAUAAUUCUAAUGCCAAAAAUUCUUCAAAACAUUAUUGUUUUUGAAAAUAUUUUUCUGACAGAUUGGAGCAUUGUUGGACUGCUGCUUUAAUAGUUCAAAACUCUAACAAUGACCGGCUCACUCUCAUACAUUAUAAUGAAAUGACAAAAUUCUUCUUUAAAAAUUUAGGAUCUACAAAUGUAAAAUUCUUACUAACAUGCACAAGAAACCUGUGUUGAUGAUUUUAUCGGAGGCAGCAGCAGAGUCGCAAAACCUGUUUUACCAAGGGCCAAGUUUCGGGCACCCUUGAGCAAGAGGCAGAUCCAAGUUUUCUACGGUUCUGAAAGUUCUAGGUACCAUCUUAUCGACAUAUAGAGUUCCCUCCAAGUGAUCACAUUCAUGUUGCAAAACCCGGGCCUGCCAACCAGAAGCAGUUAUUUUAAUCGGUUCGCCAUUACGAUCCAAACCUGUAACUUCAACGUCAAGGUAUCGCUCCACCACAGCUCUAAAUCCAUCAACACUGCAAGAGGUUAUAGCAAUUAAACAUGUUAAUGGCACCAAGGAUGAAGGGCUGUGUAUAUCGAUGUUUCACACAAUAAUUUUGCAUAAAAACAAAAAUUAUACUGUCAAGAUCCGAGCAAAUCAACCCUUUCAGUCCCUUGACUUUUGAAAUAGCAAAUUUGUCCCUUAUAUCAGAGAAUGUCAAUCAAUUGAAUCUCUAUCUCUUUAGUAAACAUCAAUCAAAACCAAUCAAAGAUCGAUACAUUGACUGGAAUAGUCUCAUGCUAUAUCAACACAAGCAUAGGACCUUUAUAAUCGUGGAGCUAAAUUUGGGGGAAAAUACUUUAGGAGUCGUGUUCAAGCAUUAUACUCAUGGUACUUCACUACUAACAAAGUAUACUUUAAAAAUGCUUAUAGUUUUAAAUUUCUAACACCAUUUAUUUCCUUGCUCCAUAUGUCCAGUUCUGACAUGAAGGGGUGUGUUAAGAGUCCAACAUCGAACAAUAUUUGACUUGAACAUGUGCUUAUAAGUGGAGGCAAUCCUCACCCUACAAACCGGUUUUGUAUGGUUGAGUUAGACUCAACUACAUCUCUUAACAAAUGGCAACCAAGGGGGUAUCGGCAAGUUGAGAAAACUCGUAUGUGGAAGAAACAAUUAGCACUCUGUAGCCAUUGGGCAAAGAAUAAUAACCACAUUGGCAUAUCAGCUUUGAAGAAAAUGAUUAAAUGGAGGCGUGUAUGCAUUAUACAUGCACUACGAAUUCAUGCACUUCGAACAGAAUAAGAGAAAAUCAUUAUAGUGUCUGCAUUUCAAAGUAACUGAGAAAAGGUGGGAUACGAUAUUCGUUUUGUACUAAACUGUAGAGUAAGUUUAGCCAUUUGUUGUCAAAUGGUGAAUAGCCACUUGAGAGUCUCGGAGCAAUUGUGAGUAUUGUCAAUAACGGAUCACAGAAAAUAGCAGUUUGUUCAUAUUCCAUCCACUAUACUAUAGUGCUAAAUCACUAUCAAGGAAUAAUAGCAGUUUAUUAAAAUUAUGCUACACUAUAGUGCUAUAACUAUGCUAUACCAUGCUAUUUGACUACACCGGAAAAUAUGAAGGUUCAUGCACACAAAUAAGAAGGAUAUGCAACCGUUUCUACUUCACAUCUUAAUUUCUUAAAUGUUUCGUGCGCUCAAACAAGUGAACGAAAGGAUAAUAAAUGGAAAGGACAAAUAUUGACAAACCUCAAACACCCUUCAAAAAAUAGGGCAGUCUUGUUGCUCUUAUUCUUCAGUUUGGGAUUCAGGAUCACCUGCAACAAAGGAUCCAUUGAAAUACUUAUUAAAGUAAUGAUCCUUUAAGACAAAAGUACAUAUUCACCGUGAAUAAUCUCCUUUUCUCAGCAUAUAUGAACAUACCAAAAGAUCAAAAGGUCUUCUAUCUUGAGCUUUGGUCUCUUCCUUUGGUGCAUAACUAAUAUACUCUUUGGUAUCUUCCAAAACAAUUAUCUGCAUACAUGAAAAGACAAAGUUCAAACUCACUUUCAAAUUAUAGGAACUGAAAACUUUUCAAGUUAGAGUGAAAGUGAGUUCCACAACUUUACUUUCAAUUUUAUAAGCAAGUGUUCCUAGAGGCCAGAGACCAGUAACAGAAAGGUUCAUUCGUCAAUCCAAAUUCAUAAGGUGAUGGAGGCACAAUUCACCUGCGUCUUCCAGUCCCAUAUUCGAUCCACACCACAGAUCAUUCUUCGCCGUUGGAUGCCAUCCAACGGCUCCCGUAUACCACUCCGGAAAACAAGGAGAUUUCUAAUCACCCCUCAUAUAUAAGGGAUCACGCGCAAGACCCGAGAUAUGUUCUAACUAACCAUAAUUUACUCUCACUAUUUUUCACAACUUGAGAUAUGUUCUAACCAUAAUUUACUCUCACACUACUUUUCACGACUUGAGAUAUGUUCUAACCAUAAUUUACCCUCACACCACUUUUCACUCAGGAACUAACUUUGGCGUUGGAGCGCUAACAUUGCAUGUCAGCCCUCUCUCCACCGCAUCAAGGCAUCAUUACACAUUUCUGGUUCCACAACAGAACAAACAAGCAAUCAAAAAGUACUUUCAUUCUACAUUCUCAUCCUUAACAAAACAAGUACACCCUUAAUCUAUUAAGCAAGAGCAAGUGAAACAAGAUAAACCCACAAAAUGGAAAAAAGGUAUAAAUCAUAAACAACAAAAAUCAUCAAAAACGUAACUAACCCUAGAAGGAAUUCCAAUCUGUGGAGCAGCUAACCCAACACCAGGAGCUUUCCUCAUGACCCUAAUCAUAUCAUCAAUAAUUUUCUGCACUUUCUCAGACUUAAUCUCACUAGGAUCAACUUCUUGAGCAGGCUCAUGAAGAACAGGGUCACCAGCUUUAACAGUAUCAGGCAAAUUCACCUUCUUGUUGUUAUUGUCCUUUGUAAGACCCAAAAACCAACCUGCUCUUGUUCUGACAGUAGCAGUUUGAGAAGAUGAUAAGGUUAAACUCAAUUGUGGGUUUGAAAUGGAUGAUAAUGGGGUUGGUGAUUGGUGUGUAAAGAGAGUUUUUUUGGUGAUAGAUAGUGGAAGCAUACACCGUAGGUGUAAGGCUUCAAUGGCCUUCAUUUUUCUUUCUCUCUUUCUGAAAAUCCUCAACGCGAAUGAGGGGUUGAGUGUUUAUGGGUUGUGUUGUUUUUUUUUCUUCUUACCUUAAUUUCAAUUCAAAAGGCCACCUCAACAUCAAAAACUCAAUUCAAAAUAAUUUUUUCAAUAAAAGAUAUUUAAGAUAGAGUUUAACUGAAGAUACAUCAAAAAAAAAUUUAUUAUGCUCUAGUAAUUGAAAAAUAUCUCAUCAGUCUCAUUAUAAAUAUUUUAUUUAAAUUAUACAUAAUUUAAAAAAAAUAUUAGAUAUAUUAGUUUUAAUAAUAAAAUUUAUAUUAUUUACUAAAAAUAUAUUUAUUAUAAUUUUUGGAGUUGUUGAAAAGAAUAAAAAAUUAAUAAAUAGAGAUAUAAUAGUAAAAAAAAAUAUUAUGUUGAUAUUCUAAAAAAAUAUUUAUUUUAAGAUAUAAAAAAAUUAAGAUACUUUUAUGAGAUGGGAGAGUAAUAGAUAUAUCAUUUGUAUUAAUAUUGUUUUUAUCUUAUAUAUUUAGGAAAGUGGAAGGAAAAUGAAAUUAGUCAUUUACUCUUGUUACCACAAGCUGCCACCUCAUCUUCUCUACUACUCUCAUUUUUAUUUUUUCCUCUCUAUUACUCAAUCAAAUUUAAAUAUUUACAAAAACACGUUUUUCAAGAUAUUUGUGGUACGGUUUACGCAAUUAUGAAUCUAAAAGUCAUCUGAAUAGCAAGAAAGAAAAGUAUUUCGGUUGAUGUUUAGAAAUAAAAUCAAAACAAAUUAAUGUGAUUUUGUUCGGUUCAAUUUUAAAAAAAAAUAUAUUGAGUCAUGCAUACGAAUAUAUAGGACAAUUUUGUGUUUAGUCGUUCAUAUAUUACCAAAUAACAAUCAAGUUCAUCGUAUUUGGACAAUAAUUUCUCAUUUAAUAUAUAAAAAUCAGAUUAGACAAAAGUGGAAAAAUUAAUAUAAAACAAAUAAACAUAGGCUAACAUUUUAUUUGUUAAUCUAACUAAAUGAUUCCCGUUAAGUACAAAAGAUGUGAGAGAAUGCUAAUAUAUUUCUUUCGCAUAACCGACUCCCAAACUCGAAAUUCGUUGUGACGAUUAUGUUUUCGUUCCUCAAAGAUUUUAUCGACUUUUCUCUUUAAAAAUAAAACUUCGGUAGCGACGUUGUAGUUAUUUUGAAUUACAUUGGGAAAAAAAUUCGCGUCGCCACACUAAGCCUAUCAUAAACAAAAACUUUACUUUUUGUAAUGUUCUUUUAAUGUAUUGUUACAACAUCUUAUCUAUUUGUGAUUUUAUUCUUAUUGUCGUUCAAUAUACAUGUCAUUAAAUUAUCAUUCAGAAAUAAAUGCAUUCAAUAUUGACAUUUUAUUUAAGUUCUGUUUGAUAGAUAAGCUAACUUAUAGUUUAUGACAUGGAUGACCGAUAAGCUAACUUAUAGUUUAUGACAUGGAUGACCGAUGAUUUAUAGUUUAUAGUUGAUAGUUGAAGACUGAAAGCUGAUAUGCUAAUUGAAGUGUUGGUAAAAUUAAUGGUUCAACUAAUUUAUAAUGUAAAAUGACAUAAAAAAUAUUUAUUACAUAUUCAUUUUAUUUUAAACUAAAACAAAUUAUAAAUGAUAAAAGAGAUUUUUUUGCUAAAAUAAUAAGGAUAAAAAUGGGAAAAAAAAUAUGAUAAGAUAUAAGUUAUAAGUUAAAAUGGUAUUUGAAAUAACGUCUAAAAAAUAAGUUAUAAAUUAGUAAAAUAAACUAUAAACUCGUGAUAAAAAGACUAUUAUUAAAGAGAUCUAAAUUAUCCUAUCAACUUAUAAGCUAUAAACUAUAAGCACUUGGGGAGUUUAAAAAGAAAAAUUAAACAUAUUAAUUAAUUAAAUGGACUAUUUAUAAUAAGUUGAAUGCAUUGACUUCCAAAUUAGAAUGUGCAAAUUCUUGAGAUGGGAAAGUUCGAAAUUGUAAACUAAAAUUUGUUAUCGAUUAAAAUAAAAAUUUAUUUUAUAUAUCAACUAAUUAAAAUUUUUAGUAACCUUAAAUUUUUACUAGAUAUGUUUAGACUAAUUACGAUUCAAAGAUAUUAUGUUAUUUUAGACGAAGCACAGAUUCUACGGAAUAAUAUCGCUCUUUGUUAACACGUUUAUAUAAUAGGAUAAAUUCAUACUAAACAUCGACAUAUUAUCAACAUGUUAUUAAAAAAAGAGCGGCAACACCAUUGUUAAUACAUAAUAAAUGUAAUAUUUUCAUGUAUCAAACGGAAUAGAUCCAUACUAGAUCCAUACUAAACUAAUAUUAAUAUACUUUUAAAAAUGAACUGCAAGACCACUCCUUAUUGACAUAUUAUUAAAAAAAGAACGGCAACAUCGCUCCGAAUAUAUUAUUAGAAUAUUCAAUAUUAAUUUUAUAUAUAUUGCAUAAAAUUUGUAAUUUAAAAUCAACAUUAUAAAAUUUUUAAUAUAUAUCUAUUUUAUAUAUAUAUAUAAUUAUAUAUAUUAUAUAUAUAUAUAUAUAUAUAUAUAUAUAUAUAUAUAUAUAUAUAUAUAUAUAUAUAUAUAUAUAUAUAUAUAUAUAUAAUAUUCAUGAUCAAAUGACACCAAGAUGUCCUCUAAUAAUUCUUCACCACACAUUCGUAUAACAAAAUCAACCGUUAAAUCAAAAGUUAUUAUCAUAUAUAUCAUCUCUAUAAAAUUUAAUAUCAAUUGAAAAUUAUUUGGUAUGUCAACAAAAUGCAUAAAAAUUAAUGUCUUACAAAACUUUAACAAAAUCGUUAAUUUUGAUCAUUCUCUUUAACAUAUCAAAUGAUUUUCGAUUGAUGUUAAAUUUAAUAAAGAUGGUCUAUAUGAUAAUACCUUUCAAUCCAUCGAUGAAUUUUAUCAUACAGAUAUGCGGUAAAGAGUUAUCAGGAUGUCAUGUUACUAAGUUUGACACAUUGAUGUCAUUUGAUCCUGGCCCAUAAGAGGCAUUUUUGUUGAUCUCUACUUCUAGCUCCUUUACUCGGCUUCGGUAUUCGACAGCCAAAGCCCACUCUUUGGAAUUGACACUAGUUUGAGACAUCAUCUUGGCUUUGACUUCUCUUUUUCUUCUGAAGAUCUUGGGUUAUUUGAUCAAGCAAUGGUUCAAACUCUAAAAUAAAGCCAACGACAACAUGAGGAGCAAUAGGAAGAUUGAGUUUCUUCACCAAGGAUUUAAUCCCGUAAACAAUGACAAAGUUAUCUUCAAUCGCUUGGAAUGAAUAUCUUUAAGGAGUUUAUAUUUCAAUUGUUGAAAACGAGCCUCCACGGGCUCACAAGAAGGCUUGUUGCCAUGAGUGGUCGAGUAACCAGUAGAAUUCUCCAUGGAGAGGCUUUGACCAUCUGUCAUCAAUUUAAGAUGCUCCACUGGAUUCAUCUCCUUCAUUUCUUUUAACUUCUCUUGGAUAAGAUAAGUGUUGGAAAGAAAACCAAGGUGAGGGAUUGAAGUUACAAUAGCUUCCGUCGAAGGUGGAGGUAUGGCAACAGCUAGCGCAGUUUUGGGAUCUCCAUUUUCAGGAGUCGAUGCAUUUUCUUGACUGGGAUUUUGUGGAGGAUGGUCGUCAUCUUGUUUGUUCUUAGCAUGUGGAUUUCCAUGUUAAGAAACAUCCCCAUCCAUAUCAAAGUGUAUGUUUGUACAAUUUAAAUCUCAACUCUCAGAAUUAGAAGAUAGUUCCUCUUAAGGAGGGUUUUUCAAUUGCUUCUUUCUCCUAGUCCAUAAUUUUUUCUUCACUUACCGUCGUUGGUUUGUCGACAGUAACCUCCUCGGCAGCAUCUCUGAUAAUUCCAAGCUGGAUUGAAGGAGAACAUGUAGAAACGGACAUCGUGUAUUUAAUACUCGAUGUGGAAUUAGGGGUGCUGGUGCAAAAUCUGGUAGAAAGAUGUUCCUAUAGAAAUGUCAUUUUGCUAUUGUUAGCACCAAGGCUAAAGUUAACACUCUUCAAUUUUCUAGACGUGACAGCAAGUUUGUUCUUUUUUGCCUUUUGGGGGGCCAUUGGAGGGAUUAUCUUUGUCUUUUCUUUUUUGACAACAUGGGUGGAAGAAGGAUCUGUAUUUUUUAUACCAGUCUUAGGAGUUUUGGUUGUUUCUUUCUUUUUCUUCUUUUUUGGCUCAGGGUCUGAAGCUUCGACAAAACCCUUCUCCCAUUCAAAGUCUUUGAAGACAAAGCCUUCUAACUAUUUGAAAAGUUUCCCUUGAUGCUCGACUUUAGGCUGAAGUAGUAUAAAAUAUUAGCAUAAUUAAAGGAGACCUGAAAGAUAAAAAUAUUUCAACAUACAAACCUUUGUCUUUUCUUCUUCACCAGAGGCUUCCUUCUCAUAUUUAAACUUUUUAUUUGGGAGAGCGGUAGUCGAACUACCUCCCUUUUUUCAACCAUUUAAUAAAGAGUGGAAGUUUAGAACGCCAUCCAUAAAGAAUGCAAAAAAAUAGUUGAAGAAUGCGUGUUUCGUUUCAGCUGGUUGGUCAGACUUUUUGCCAACAUCGGCAAUAUCCUUUCUGCCUUUUCUUACAUCAACAACUGCAAAGAUUUGACAAGGGCAUAUUAAUGGAUACAUUGAUACUAAUAAGGGUGAUAUGAAAGGUGUUAUUCUUCACUUGCAUAUUAAGGGGAUAAGAUUGUAACAUACCCAAUGUCAACGUGAAUCCGACCUUUAUAGUUGUGUAUGUCAUGUUUAGUCGAAACUACUUUUUGGACGGGUUUUUACACUCAUUUUGCAAAACAUCCAAAGAAGACCCACAAGUAAACCACCGUGGAAAGGGGGUCAAAAGGACAACAAAAAAUUAUAAUUAGGAAAAUAUGGAAAUUUAGGUGGGUGAAAUUCUAAAGCAAAAGCAUACCAUUUGUCACAUAAGAAGGAAAUUUCAAUUUAGGUAUCUUUUUGACAAGUUUUUAUUUUAAAGUAGGGGUUGCCUUAAAGAUAGUCUGAAUAAGAUUAUUUGGGUUAUACAUGGUUUUAAAGUAACACUAAAAGCUUGGAUUUCUUUAAUAUGCGUACGUCUACCUUUUUUAAAUUUGGCUAUAGAGAAGAAAAAGCUUAUGGUAGGGAAUGCAUCAUGGUCAACACAUCUACAAAGUUGUUAGUAUGGUAAUCUUUCCACCAAUUGUCGAACUCUUGAGUACAAUAAAAAGAUGUUUGGAAUGGGAAAGGUGUGUGGGUAAUGAGCACACCAGACUGUCGAGUGAGACGCGUUGAGUAUUCUUCUUCAGUUAUCUCGACAAUGUUAUGACAAAGAUCUUUCUUCCGACUAAAAAUGGAGUUGGGUAAGCUUUGGAUAAACCCAAACUGUUAAGUCACCAGGUUAGGUUGAUAUCCAAUUAUCCCUAAGUUAUCUUUGGUAGUUCUAAGCCUAGUCGAAAACAGUUUGGGGGUAAGGAAGGCAUUCCAUAUCUCAAAAACCUUAGUUUAGUAUUCAGCAUUAAGAGCGGGAAAUUCUCUCUUGAACCAAUAUGGUUCAUGACUUCGGUCAGCAAAAGGGGCCAUCGAAGGAGUAAAAACAUGUCGCCUAGAAAACACUGUAAAAUAUUCAGUGAAGACAUCCUGUGUUGAGCAUCUUGUGUUGGUCGAGGUAAGAAUCACGAUUUUAGUACCUUCGAUUCGUCAAUUUUGAAUCUCUUCAGUAUGUCUAGCUGGUAUGUCUACAUUUAGAGAAGACUCAAAUGUGACAUUCAACCAAAGUUGUAGAAGCUAAAAGGGGCCAACAAUUGAAAGGUUGACUUUGGGUUUAAAAAGUUUCAGGGCAUUGGAUGUAAUGCCUAAAGAUUCAUAAAGAGAGCCUAGAAUCAAUUGACCUAAAUAGAUAAUUCAUCCUUCAUGCAAUUGAUUAUCUAAAGAAAUGAAACUUUUGGAUACUUUGAGUGAUUUAAAGCAAAAGAUGUAGUAAGACAACCAAAGUGUUAGGAAUGCAAUGUGUUCUUCAUUCGACAUGUCCUCAAUUUGGGUUUCAAAAUGGACAACAAUAAAGACGUUGUAACUAGCACAUUUAGAAUCAAAACUAAUGGUACACUUAUCCUGUUGGGUAGGGUCGAAGACGUCACUAGUUGGUCAAAGCCCAGUAAUGACAACUACGUCGAACAAGGUUGGCGUAAUCAUCCCGUAACGAAUUUGGAAAGUAUUUGUCGAGCUCUCCAAGAACUGUAGUGCCUCGAGAAGCCUUUCUGAACUGUGAGUGGGGCCAACCAUAUACAUUUGAAUCAAGUCGAAAAGGCCUUGUUCUCUCCAAAUAUGCGCCUUCUUUGACUCCACUUUGUUGAGCCACAAAUGUAUUCCUACUGGUUGGUGUAUGAAGUCGGGUGAAAAUCUCAAGAGGAUACACUCAUAUAGCUUAAAUCAUAAGCUUGAUUCACGCAAGCACGACGCUUGUUUGGUUGUAAUAGGGGAAGAUUUCCCUCACUUUGUCAGCGUUGGAAUUAGGGUCAGGGAGCGGACCCAGAAAUGCAUGCAUUUCAUCAGAAACAGAAAAAGAAAUAAGUACAUGGGAUUUCCAUAUUAAAGCUUUUUCCUUCUCCGUAGGUGGUUCAGGAACAUAUACUUGGUUCCCAACUUGGAUGAGAACAUUGACAGCUUCAGCAAGAGGAAGUGGAAAUGUUGGGUUAGAAGAAGAUGCCAUUGUUAGAGGUAAUAUGGAAAUGGUGAGAAAGAUAGGGCUUUUUGAGAAGAAAUGUGCAAUCUUUGAACUGGGAAAUGGAAGUGAAUCGAAAAGAGGGAAAAUGGUGAAGGUCGCUAUAUUUAUAGUUUGUUGAAAGAGGCCUUUCGUUUCUCCUAUUUAUGUUGAAAGAGACUAUGUUUAUUGGUUCAGAGAUGAAGUGGAAGAGUUUGUUUCCUUGUGUGGCCCACCUUCAUCCUAGGAAAUCGGAGUCUUGAUGAAGAUCUUUGGGUGCAAGUCUCAAAAAUACAUUUUGAUAAAGUAGAUAUGAUGAUGGUGACAUCAUCCUACUACUCUGAAUAGUCUUGGCAGUGUCAAAAACACCACUUAUCUCUCAAAUGGUUGAAUGUGGCAUUUUUUGGGGGAAAUUUGUUAACUUGGAAAUUCUCGACAUGCAGAGUUCGGCCAAGAGGAUAUGACAUUAAGAUGAUACUUAGUGAAAAUAAGGACGCAUGAUGACGUACGACAAACUUAUCGUUCGACCAUAAGUGUCGAGUUUGACAUAUUUGGUGUCGAUUUUUAACUUAUCAUUUUUCUAAAUGUUGAGAGUGAUUUCCUCAGGAUUCGACAAAGUUUGACUCUUUAGUUGAGAAGGUUGAAAUGAAGCAAAAGGAUCAUACCGAAUAACUACUUUUUAAUCUUAUCUGAACUUCGACGACACAUGGAAACUUGGCAGAGGAUUGGAAGCUUCAUUGGGGUUUACGUGUCGCGCAGUAGGGAAAUAGCCAUUGUAGACAAUUAUUUUUCAUAUUAGUAAAUAUAGUGGUUCUAGCGUUAGGAAUCAGGUGGCAAUAAAAAGUUAUUGAGUGAUUUCUCUUUUGAGAAAUAUGCACGAAAACGCCUUAGGAUUUUUUAGUUUGGUCCUGCAAGUAACUAUUAAAAAAUAAGUGAUUGUUUAUCAAAAACACAAGUAAACACAUCCAUGAAUAUCUUGUUGAAUCAAAAAGAAUAUGAAAGUGAUGAAAACAAGAAUAAUGAGAUUCCAGAUGUCAAUGACAAUGUUAUUGAGAAUGUUGAAGAUGAUUUUUCAAUUCCUAUUUAACGUGAGACCUCUAAAAGGACUCCUAAAAGAUCCAAAAGGAUAACUAAUAUAUAUAUAUAUAUAUAGAAGCCCAAGAAAUCUACCAUCACCAAGAAGUUUGCUACUCCAAGUAAAAAGAAAAAUAAAGCUCGAAGGAGACAGAUAAAGCGCUGAAGAAAAAUGCAUCAAUUGAAAAGAAAAAGAAGACUAUAGUAAAGUAAACGACCAUUGCUGAGAAGAAAAACGCAGUUAUGAAAAGGAAGAAGGUCCCUGAGAGGGAAGUUGUCGAAGAAGAUGUGACAAACAUUAUUGAUGAUAUGAUGAUCCCUACUACUAAAAAGAGCAAGAGAGUUUUAUGAAGGAAGAAAUUGACUAUUAAUGUUUUUGAUGUACCUUUAGAUGAUGUCUCCUUCUAUUCUGGGGAAAUUGUCUUAAAGUGGAAUUAUAAAUAAAUAGGCGUAUAACACCAGAAAGAGAUUUGUCCAAAGAAGCCCAAAAAUGUUCAGAAAUAAUGCAAUUGUUGAAUGACGUACAUGUCUUAAAUAUUGUGUUCGAUGUUGGCCCUUUUCUCCCAAGACUUGUGAAGGAAUUCAUUGUAAACCUUCCUAAAUGUUUCAAUGAUUCAAGAAGUUCUAAGUACACAAAAGUUCAUGUACAUGGACAAUGUUUUGGAUUUUCUACCACCGUUAUCAAUGAGUACCUAGGUAGAGGAAAACUUGUCAUUGCUAAUCGUGUGCCCUCAAUGAAGAUAAUCGCUUAAGAAAUUACUGGUAUCAUUCCUGAUGACUGGUCAUCCAAGGGUCUUCUCAUUGCCCUCAACCCAAAUACAUCAUCCCAUACAAGAUCAAAGUUGCCAACAUGACACUUUUAAAUCAUGGACCAUGUAUAACUUCAAGUCUUACUAGUUUACUUUAUCAAAAAGGAACUAGUGUUGUGUUUGACUUUGGAGACUGUUUGUUUAAACAAGAGAUAAAACAUGUUAAGUAUUUUAUUGUUAAGCCUCUCAUUAUUUUCCCUUUGUUGAUCUGUGUUAGAACAAGAUUUGGUUCUGCAUCUAUACCUUGAGUUUUGAUGAUAACAAUGUUGUAUUUGUGAGAACAAUUUUGGUACCCUAAUGAUUUGUUAUUGUGUAGCUUUAACAAGCAUUUAUGAUUCAGAGUUUAUGACGUGCAACGUCAUCAGUUUCUGAACAUUGUGUUCCAAUUCUGCUUUUCCACUAAUCAUGAGAAGUUCUGAAAGAUGUUCAAGUUGCAACUGUAAUGAUCUUUUUACUUCUAUAUUAAUUCACUUAUGAGAAGUUUAUGAGGAGAUGAUAUGUUGUUGCUGCAACGUUCUCUCGGUUUGUGCUUCUGAACAUGAAUUUGAUCAUCAAACUUCUGAAUAAUUGCAAGUUUCUAAAGUUGUGUUACUUAGAUGAAGAUUCUAAAGAUCCCAAGCCAGACGAUGAGUUAUCAAAGUUCUGAAUGAAGAGUCUGAAGAUAUUGAAGAUCUCACGCCAGACUGUUGAUGUUGUCAAGGUUCUAACUAAAUAUUAUGAAGUUUCUGAAUUGAGUUGUAUGUUUCUUCAUUUCAUGUUUCAUCAACUUCAUCAAAAACCAAUGAAUUUGAAGAUAAGAUCAAAAUAGAUAUGUGAUCAAAUAGUACAUGGUACCAAUCAAAUAUUCCUUCCACUACCUGAUAUCGUGGGCAAAUGACAUUACUCUACAUCACACCUGUCAUUGAAAUUAUGGGCGAAGGACAGUACUAUGUGUCACUCCUCUCACCAAUCCAAUAGUGGGCAACCGUCUAUUGGUAUCCUCAUUUUUCCUCUCAAGGGUCUCUUUUCUUAAGUUAUAUAAUUGAAACUUGGAGACUUGAAGAAAGAUGGAUGUGCUACAACAAUUUGACAAGUUUAUUUCUUUGUGAAAAGCUAUCAAUUUUGUACACAAUUUUUAUUUAAGUGUUUGUUUAUCAUUUGUGUAAAAUCUGUUUGUGUAGAAGCAUCUUGUAAACACAAAACUUCAAUUCAAACUAUUUGUUUAUAAUUCCUUAAGGAGAAUAAGGUAUAGUCGGAUCCUUGAAAAGACAAAGAAAGUUGUUAUGUAUGAUUCCUUAAGGAGACUAGGGUAUAGUCAGAUCCUUUAGAAGACAAAGAAGGUUAUUCUUUAUGAUUAUUGUAAUCGGCCGAUUAUAGUGGAUUAAGUCCUUGUGUAUAAGGUGAAAUCACUUUGGCGGGUGGACUGGAGUAGCUUUGAGUUUCAAGCGAACCAGGAUAAAAAUACUCAUGUAUUUAUCUCUUUGUUAUUAACAUUUGAGUGAUGUUUUUGAGUUGGUAAAAAGCUUUUUAUUUUUAAAACCCAAUUCAAAUCUCCCAUUUAACUGUGGUAUUUUGAUUAAACAAAAACCUGAUAUUAUGACUAAUGAUGAUGAAAUUGGUUUACCCCUGAGUCAUCUGAAUUUUAGUUACAAGCUUUUCUGUUGUGAAACAUGUCCUAAACAUUUUUCUCCCUAACUUUCCAAAUUUUGAUGAAUCUGGUAUGACUACUGAUGAUAAUGUUCUUGAAGUUUUGUCUAUCGUUAGGCCUAUUAGAAUCCACCUUCUUAAUGUUCUUAUCUUGGAGUUCAAAGCAUUGUAAGAAAUAAUUUCUACAUUCACCACCAUAAAAGUAGGGUUGAAUGAUCUAAUAAAAUGAAGAUCAACUUCUCAGGCUCCUGUCCAAGAUGCUAGGACAUCAGGUAGGAAUGAAGAUCACACAAGCAGCGGUGAUGAAGAAGAGUUGGAAAACGAUAUUGAUUCCAAUGGUGAUUUCUCUAAGUGAUUUUUUUUUGGAAAAAUGUUAGUUUGAUUUUGUUCUUUUGGUAAUAUAUUCAUGUAAGACAUAUAAAUGGUUUGAUAAUGGUUCUACUCUCUUUAACAUUGUGUCAGUUAGUUCUCUUGGUACUGAUGUUGCCCUUGUGUGGGUUGAAAUGCUGUGAUAUUUGGUGUUACUGCCCUCUGUUGGGCUGGAAUUUUGUGAUCUUUUGUGUUAUUGCCCUCUGUUGGGUCGGAUAAUUGUUCUUUUGGUUUGUAUGCCCUUAAGGGUCCAAUAAUUUGUCUUCGCACUUUGUCCAUUUGUGGUAAAUAGGGAGAAUAAAAACACAUUUCCUAAUUUUAUGCAAGUGGUUUUCUUUAUCAUAUGUGGUCCCUAAUUUUAACAUGUUCUUUACUUACUUCGUUGUGUUUUAAUGUACGGUGGUUAAUUUCUAUAAGGAAGAAUGUAUUAAGAAUGUGCAUAACAUCUCACAUGUUUUUAAUUUGCCUAAACAAUGGCCAAAGAGGGAGUUUGUUAUUACAAGGGAUUGACAAUAUUUUGUAGGCAACAUGUGAAGUAAGACAUUCUGAAAAGAUGUGAGACAUUUUGUCUCGGAGUGGUCCAUAACACAUUUGAUUAAAACAACACGUUAAGUUUUAUGUACUAACAUUGUACGAGACAUCAUGUCUCAAGCUAUUUGCUUGACGCACAAGUUUUAGUGGAGUAUUUCUCGCACUUAUGAGAUUUGUUUCCUUUUAUACUCAAAUCAAAGAUCUGAUUUGAAAGCGCGUUUUAAUUUUGGAAAUAUUUAUUUUAAAUCUAUUUUAGCAAGAUUGUAAAUACAAUUAUCAUCAAAUUCAUAUUUAAUCAAGAUUUGUUUCAAUCAAGAUCUAUCAAGAUUCAUAAUCAAUAUUAUGGAGAUUGAGCUUUUAUGCGCUUUUGGGAUACCAGUCGCUUUCACACUGAAACCCUACUAGGCCUUUCAAAAAUAUGGAUGAAUGGUGGAGUGAAAGUGAGAGAGAUCUCAGAUAAAAAGGGAACCUAGAUCGAAGUUCACUAAUAGUAUUAGGAAAAAGGUAUUGAAUGAGGAGAUUUCAGAUUAGACCGAUUUGUACUUUUCACUACUAAGAGUGGAUUUUCUUUCAUUAAGUUAAUGCCUUCUAGAUGUAGGUGACUUUGCAUCGAACUGGGUUAACAAUUUUUGUAUUAUUUAUUCUAUGCAUGUAUCUUAUUUGUUACGCAAACUUAUUGUCAUACACAUUAUUUUAAUAUUGUAUCUGAUAUCGUGUAAUCAGUAAAACAAUUUUUUAAAAAAUAUAUCACAUAAUAAUGUGAAGAGGAUUAUGAGAUUUGUGAAAUGAAUUAUGGACCAUAAUACUUGAUGUCAAAUAAGAGAAACAACAACAAACUACUAAGACUCAUAUUAGAGUAGAGAUAAGAGGAAGAGCACAACUAGAUACUUGUUUCCAAUAGACAAAGCUCAAAAUUCUUGAUGGCAAAAAAAAAGUGAGUGUGACUUUAACCCUAAUGUGAAGUAGAAUAUGUGGCAAGCUUAUUUGCAACAUGUCUUGCUUGUGGAUUGAUGUGUAUCUUGAAGAAUUGAAGAUAUAUAGAGUGAUAAAGAUAAAAUUGCAUGCAUAGAACAUCUGAGCGAUUCUAUUGUCGACAAAAAGAAGUAAGUUAUCUAUAUUCCCUUCUGUAUCAUAUUCACGACCUUGGUCAUAUAUAUAUAUAUAUAUAUAUUUAUAUUAGAUAAGUAUAUAGAGAUAAAUAAGAGAGAGAGAGAGAGAGAGAGAAGACGACCAAUUAUAUCGGAGGCCCGUUCUAGUUAAAAAAAAUGGCCCCAUUUUUUUAAAAAUAUAAUUUUAAUAAUUAAAAAAAAUACACAAAAAUACAUUUAUAUAAAAUUAAAAAUAAUGUAAUUAUAAUUAUUUUGAGUUUUGAUCAAUCUGAUUUUUGUUGUAUGUAUUGAGUUUUUAUCAUAACAUUUCUUUCGAUUAUUGAGUUUUUAUAUAAUAUUUUAUUAUUUUUAUUAAUAUUUUAUGAAAAAAAUGAAAAUUUCAAAAUUUAGACCCUCUAUAUUUGGUCCCCUAUAUCGUUGCACAUGAUAUAUAUAUAUAUAAUAUAUAUAUAUAUAGUAUAUAAUAUAUAUAAUAUAUACUAUAUAAUAUAAUAUAUAUAUAUAUAUAUAUAUAUAAUAUAUAUAUAUAUAUAUAUAUAUAUAUAUAUAAUAUAUAUAUAUAUAUAUAUAUAUAUAUAUAUAUAUAUAUAUAUAUAUAUAUAUAUAUAUAAUUAUUAUUGGAUAUAGAUAACCAUAACUCGUUCCCUAUUAAGCAUAGGAUAGAAUCCAAGUCAUUUUCAGUAGCACAAGCUCAUGCUAAGAAAGUCAGCGUAUCAUUGUUCUUAUAAUGAUAUUCUACGAUCCAAAUACAAGGUAUAAGAAAAAUUAUAAUCUUUUAGCUAAUAAUUUAGUCAUGGUUACCUAACUUAAGCAAGUUUUUUUUCUUCCCACGAGAUUCUCUACAAAUAAAAGUUGCCUGUUAUUUUUGCUUUAAGUAGGUAUAAAUAUAUUUCUUUCGUUUCAAAAUAAAUGAUCAAGUUGCCUAUUACACAUAUAUUAAAAAAAUGAUAUUUUUAUUAAAAUAUUUUUUAUAAUUAAAAAUAAUAAAAAUAAUAUUAAUUAAAAUUUAUAAUUAAAAAAAUAUUAUAAAUUUAAAUAAAUUAUUCAUUUUAAAAUAUUUAUUUAUUCUAAAUAAAUUAUUCAUUAUAUAAGAAAAUACCUAACAAGAUUUGAAUAGUUGCGACUUUCCGCCGUCAAUAAUGCCUUAAGCUGCACUGGAUUUUGAAUGGUCUAACCCUGAUGGAUUAGUUGUAGGCUAAACUUUUUGAACCUUCAAAUUACAUUAUAUUCGGAAGGAGUACUUAUCAAAAGAGAACAAAGUCGGCCCAACAAAUUUAGAAAUUUAAAUAGAAAAAUAAUAAUAAUAAUAAUAAUAAUAAUAAUAAUAAUAAUAAUAAUAAAAUUUUGUGCUUUUCUAAAAUUUAGUUAACUUUUAUAAUAUUAAACAACAUAAAAUUAAACAUUAUACUAUCACAAGAUUAAUUAUUUUUAAUAAAUAAAUUUAUAACAAAACUAAUGAGUAAAUUUAUAUAUGUGAUAUAAGAAUUAAUAUUUAUAAAAUUAUUGUUUCUGAUUAAAUUAACUUAACAAAUUUAAAACUUAAAAAACGAGAUACAAAAGACGGUAACCUCCCUUACAAUUCACAUUUUUCACGCAAUCAUACAAUUAAAAUAUUAUUAGCCGUCUCAUAUUAAUCGGAUAAAUUAGAAAAAAUAAAUUUAAGUUUAAUUUAUAUUUUAAAAAUAUUAUGCUAAAAUGAAGACCUUUUAAUUAAAAGGUCACAAUUGCUUGACAGCGUGAAUGCAGGAUUUGAGUCUACAACAAAUCUGAAUCCCACAUCACAUGUUAAGGCUAAAUUAUAUAUGUUAGGUCACUUUAGCAAAAGUACUAGGAACAUAACUUAAAAGGAUUAAAAACUCAAUGGAGAGUUAUACGUUUGAUUUUUAACUUAGAUAUAUGAGUACUAUUUGUGAUAUUUUUUUAUUAUUAUUUAAUUUUAAAUAAAAUUUAUGAUUUUCUCAUAUAUUAAUAUUUUAUAUUUAUAUGUUUUAAUUUUUUAUUAUUGUAUUUUAAUAUUAUUUUUGGUUUUUUAAUUUUUAUAAUAGAAUUUUGUUAUAAAUUUAACAAUUAAGUUUUAUAUUCACGCAUUUUAUAAAAAAAUCUUAUUUUUUAUUAACGUAUAUUUUAAUUUUUUUAAAAUAUUAUAUUUCGUAAGUAUCACUACACAGAUAUCAUAUCCGUAAAAAAUUCAUCUGAAAGCCGACAUGCUACAAGUUUUUCAUUGUGAGAAAGCUUUAGAUGCACACAUGUCUUAUGUUGGAGGACACACUUUUGGUCUAUUAGCAGGAUCAUAAAUUCUAGUUGUUGAUUAUUAAACUCAGCAAAAAUGAGGUUAUUAUACACAUUUCUUAGCUAACCAAACAACAUAUCUGUCAAUAUGUAUCAGUUCCAAUUCUCAUGUGUUACACCACGUCAAGACUAGAUGGUAGUUAUACUGGUGAAUAAUAAUGACUCACUAAUCCAUUUUAUGUAGGGGUGUUCGCGGUGCGGUUUGGACGGUUUUUGCGAUAAAAAUCAUCCGAACCGCAAGAGAAAAAAAAAACAUGCGGUUCGGUUUGGUUCGGUUGACUUUUAGAAAUAAAACCAAACCAAAUCAAUGCGGUUUGGGUUGGUUCGGUUGGUUCGGUUUUUUAUAAUAUUUUUAUUGAGCUAUAUAUACUCCUAUAAAUAGCGACAUAACUUUGUGUUUAGUCAUUCAUACAUUACUAAAUAACAUCAAAAUUCGUCAUAUUUAGACAAAAACAUUUCAUUCAAUAUACAAAAAACCAGAUUAGACAAAAGUGGAAUAAAAGACAAAUAUAAAUAGUAGCAUAAAAUAAUAUCAAAGACAUUAUAAUAAAACAUAAAAAAAAAACAUAUGAGAUGAGAGAUUAGAGAAGAUGAAAAAAAGAACAUAAGAGAUGCGAGAUUGAGAAGAAAAGUGAAAUAAAAACGUAAUUGGAAGAGAAAAUAGUAACAUAAAAGAUAAAAAAGAAAGAACAUAAUAGAGGACUUAUUAGAGUAGAAUAGGAGAGACUUACAUGGAAAAGAAGAUGAGAAGAAUGUGUGAUACUACUAUGAGAGAUUUAAGAAGGUUGAAAUUGAAACCCUAAGUGUGAUNNNNNNNNNNNNNNNNNNNNNNNNNNNNNNNNNNNNNNNNNNNNNNNNNNNNNNNNNNNNNNNNNNNNNNNNNNNNNNNNNNNNNNNNNNNNNNNNNNNNNNNNNNNNNNNNNNNNNNNNNNNNNNNNNNNNNNNNNNNNNNNNNNNNNNNNNNNNNNNNNNNNNNNNNNNNNNNNNNNNNNNNNNNNNNNNNNNNNNNNNNNNNNNNNNNNNNNNNNNNNNNNNNNNNNNNNNNNNNNNNNNNNNNNNNNNNNNNNNNNNNNNNNNNNNNNNNNNNNNNNNNNNNNNNNNNNNNNNNNNNNNNNNNNNNNNNNNNNNNNNNNNNNNNNNNNNNNNNNNNNNNNNNNNNNNNNNNNNNNNNNNNNNNNNNNNNNNNNNCAUUAUUGAGAUGAGAGAUUAGAGAAGAUGAAAAAAGAACAUAAGAGAUGCGAGAUUGAGAAGAAAAGUGAAAUAAAAACGUAAUUGGAAGAGAAAAUAGUAACAUAAAAGAUAAAAGAAAGAACAUAAUAGAGGACUUAUUAGAGUAGAAAUAGGAGAGACUUACAUGGAAAAGAAGAUGAGAAGAAUGUGUGAUACUACUAUGAGAGAUUUAAGAAGGUUGAAAUUGAAACCCUAAGUGUGAUGAAGAGAAAAUCAUUUGUAAUUGUAAGGUUAAGGCAUACUAGGUUUGAGGUUUGGUUGGAUGUGGAUAGUUUGUGAACUUUGGGUUGUAACAUAAUGCGGUUUGGUUUGGUUUAGUUCGGUUUGCAAAAUACAAACCGCAAACCAAACCAAACCGUGCGGUUUUAUUAAAAAAUGACCCAAACGAAUCCGAACAAAAUGCGGUUUCGGUUUGGUUUGGUUUGGUUUGCGGUUUUCUAUUGGGUUGGUUUGGUUUUGAACACCCCUAAUAUAAUGUGUCAGUCAGGAGUACAAAAAAAUGAAACAUGUGGCGCCAGUCAGUUGUAGUUGAGGUGAGACCUCAUAGGAAAUAGUGGUAGGAUCCUAUUUUUUUUUAAAAUAACCAUUAUUUAAAAAAAACAAAAUUUAAAAUAACCAAUAUUUUAAUUUUUUUUCCAAAAAUAAUCACUUUCGAAAACGGAUGCGUAAGAUGAAUUGACACAUCCAUUUGCAAACAAGAGGAAGUGUCAGCACCACUGACGCAUGCUUUUGAAGCAUUAAAUGGGGGUGUCCAGGGUGUUGGCGCAUGCAUGUGCUUGUGUCCAUGCUUCUGGCGCCUACAUGUGUUGACAUGUGUGGCGCCUAACCAUUUACCACAUGCAUUUGCAUUGGGUUUGUGAGUGUGCAUGUGUGAACUGGACUCAUGGAUCCAAUCUCCCAAAAAUCACUUCUCUUCUGGUACGAAGCUGACAACCUGAAAAGGCAAUGCUCAUUCGGACAAUAAAUUUUGUACCUCAAUGCAUUAGUUCUAUCAACCCUGAAAUCAGCUGAAUAGUUUCAUGUGAAACUUUUUAAUGGCUUUUACACAAUCUUCUUUUGUGCAAAAUGUGUCUCCUUUUUCAAAGAUCCUUGCAUUUUCACAUAAGGAUAGUACCACAUAUACGAUGAAGGUUCAUCGGAACCUAGAUUCAACCUUGUCAUGUGUUGAGGUGGACAAUAUACAUGGCUAGCUGGUAAUGGCUCAUCUUCUUUAGCAGCGUUAACCAUUGAAUCAACCAAAAUCUCGACUUCUUCUUCUUCGUCAUCUACAACAUUCACCUCAGCUUGUUCGUCGUCAUCAGUUUCACAAAACACUUGUGACUGAUCAAUGAACUGAGACACUUGUUGUUGUUGUUGUGGUAAUAUAUACAACUCUAUAUCGUUGUACCCAGAUUGUUCGUGACUGACAAACAUAUGCCGAACAUCGUCAUCAUCUUGAAUCUUCUUCUGAUAAAACUUCAUCUGGUUUUCUGCAAAACAAAUCGGAUUUUUAUAGAUGAUUUGACCCACAGUAUUACACUGCAAUUUCUUUUCUAUUCUUUGUUUCAGAUGUGAAAAAUUUGAUCAUCGAUUUAUUGUAAACCGAGUUACCUCUGUGUUGCAAAAACAAAAACCGAAUAAUUGAUGCUCAAAUAUUUUACCUUCGGUAUGGGCACUGAUCAUGUAAUGUUGUGAGGAAGACAUUUUUUUAAAACUAACUUUAGUAUUUCUAUUGAUCUGUAUGGUACAGAUGGUGAAUGCAUUGAUAUAUUAUCUACAUGCAAUUAAAUAGGUAAACGUUGAAUGCAUUGAUCAUGUAAUUCAUCUGCACAGACAAAAUAAUACAAUGCAUGCUCCUGGUAGAAUCUCUGCACACACAAAGUAUGCGCCUACACACAAGGAACCUCACAAGAAUCUCUGCCCUAAUAGUCCAAAGUAGGCGCCCAUUCCCUAGGUGCAUAAAGAAACCUAUGGGCGCCUCUUCAUUGCAUGGCAAAAUUCACAUGCAUGUGCCACUAGCAUUGGUGCAUGUGACCUUGCAUGUGAAUAUUUCAUGCAUGCGCCUAAGGCUAUGGUGCCUCCUACAAGCAUGCGUCUAGGGCUAUGACGCCUCCUCCUCUAUCAUGUCAUGCAUGCAUCCAAUCACAUGUUGCGUAGGUUGCAAACCUAGUAAAGACUUCCUCAUCUAUAAAUAGGGUAUUAAUUCAUAACAUCUCAUCAUCUGCAACACUAAACAUUUUCUCUGCAACACUUUAUCUUUACCACACUCAACCUCUGCAGCAUUAUGUCUCUGUUGACUAUGGGUGAUAAACACAGAGGAACACUCGACAAUAUCUCGACAUUUGUAUGUUAUUACUCUCUUGUUACUUAUUUCAUAUUUAUUUCGUAUAUCUUUCUUAUAUAUGUUUUCAUUAUAUAUUACUUCUUCUUAUUUUGUUUCUUACUUAUGCUUUAUUAGGAUCCGAAGAGAUUUCGAUGUCGUGUACAUGAAUAUGUACCCCACAAUCCUUUGAUAGAACCAUAUACUAGAGGAUGUGGUUUUGAAAAUCUCCUCAACAUAGUCUCGUACUCGGUGGACUACAAAUUCAUUCUUGAUUUGUUGGAGAGGUGGAGACCCAAGACCCACACAUUUCACCUUCCUUUCGGUAAGUGUACUGUCACACUUGAGGAUGCUUACAUGUUGUUGGGUCUGCAUAUAGAUGGUAAAGCCGUGAAUGGUAGAGUUAAACAUGACAACUCUAUCUGCAAUGAAUUAUUGGGUUCCCCUUUGUGUGACGACCAAGCUGAGGGAGAGUCAUCCGGGAAAUCUAUGGGGCAAGGUAUAAAUUUAAAAUAUCUUAAACAAUAUUAUGCGAGUAUAAUAUUGUUUGAAGAAUCAACCAAGUACGAAAAAAAUAAUUAAAGCUCGGUGUUAUAUUAUGAUUUUAUUUGGUAAUUUUUUAUUUCCAAAAAAUACUGAUAAUACGGUAAAUAUUAUGUAUUUACCGUUAUUACGCAACAUUAAUAAGGUAAACAUAUAUAGUUGGGGUUCAGCUGUAUUGGCCCAUCUAUAUAGUGCAAUGUGUAAAAAUGCCAACAAAAAUUCUUGUACUUUUUAUUCAUCUGCGUAUUUGCUACAAGCAUGAGGUUGGUCAAGAAUGUCGUCACUCGCUCCGGUAAACGAGAACGCAUUCAUGUUCCUAUUUGCAACAAAGUAAGUUUAACACUUUACCAUUUAAUUAAUUAUACUUUAUAUUACAAUUAAUUGUAAAUAAUAUUUUUCAUUUUUUUAUGAUCUAGGCGGUCAGUUAGAGGGAUGAACUAUAAUAGGUGUCCGAAACACGCUAUAGUAGUCUAUCACAAUCUAUUGGACCACAUUGGACCAGACGAUGUAAUACUCCUACACAAUUCUAUUUUAUUUAAAAAUACUUAUCAAAUUAUUUAUCAUAUAAUCGUGUCGUAUUGUUGUACAGUUUAUCUAGAGGUCAUAUCUGGGUCUUGAUCAUCAUGUUAACCAUGAUGAUGAUGCCGUUUGGACAACAAAGACAUUAAUUAUCCAGUUCACUACCGUGGAGAUGCACCAGAGUAGCCGGGUAAAACUGUAGUUCGGCAUGCAGCAUCAGAUUCCAGAACCUCAGACGUGUAUGGGAGAUUGGCAUAAAAAAAGAGUUGAUGCCCAAUGGGAUUAUUCCGACUGGAGAGACUUCGCAAAGGAGAUGUGCCGUUAUUGGAGGAAUCGACGAUAACACAUCUUAAACGAACCAGACAUCCAUGGUGUUAGACCAAAUCAACAAUGUAUGGCAUGGUUUAGGUCGGUAACAACGCAAUAAUUUGUGUCUGAGCCACAAUAUUUGAUUGAUCCACGCCAACUAGCUUCGUUAUCAUACGCCCAACAACAAGUCCCCGUCUAACACCAAUGUCAAACCACCCAAACCCAACGACCAACUUCACAUCAUCAACCUACCACAUACACCCAACAACCAAACACCCAACUUCGUAACCCAUUCAUGCCACCCACCCAACAACCAAACACCCAACCUUGCAAUCCAUUCAUGCCACCCACCCAACCACAAAACCAAGAAUCAAACCAUACCCACCAACAACCAUACACAUCAACCAUAAUCGUAUAUAUCCCAGAUGAUUCAUAUGAGUCACUUCAUCACCAAAACAUCCAACCAUUGUUUAACUAUAAGACUCCCUAGGAACCAUUGCUUCGUUUCAAAAACGAUUCAAUGUCCCAAUUCGGACAACUAUACCGUCCACAAUCCACCUAACCACGUCGACCUAACUACCAUAACAUGCGCACCAAACUCCAUUACGGAAGCGCCGUUGGCCAGAGACCCCCCGACUAUUAGGAACAAAUGAUGACACAUCUAUCAAAUACCGCUGGAACUUCCGCCGGACCUUCACACUAGCCAUCAUUGGAUUAGGUCAGCACGCAAAGACCCCAAACACCUCAGGAAAAUCGUGGGAGACCUCGAAGACAAACUAACGCACCUGGAUGUGGAACAGGGGGACGUUUCGAUCGGGCCGGUCAUUAAAUUUUUGUCAAUCCCAUGUAACUUUUAUUAUAUCAUGAAUAAUUUUUUUAAAAUAUUUUAUUUCAUUAUUUAUUAAAAAAAAUUUAAAAAUUUUAAAAAAAUUUAAAAAAAUUUAAAUAAAUUUAAAAAAAUAAUACAAAGGUGUAUGCGCCAGAUGAAUUAGCACAUACACCAAAGGUCAAGUGCAUGCGCCAGCACCCUGGUCGCCCCCAUUUCAUGCUUCAAAAGCAUGCACCAGUGGUGUUGGCACCUCCUCUUGUUUGCAAAUGGAUGUGUCAGUUUAUCUGGAACAUCCGUUUUUAAAGGUGGUUAUUUUAGAAUUUUUUUUAAAAUAUUGGUUAUUUUGGAAUUUUUUUUAAAACAAUGGUUAUUUAAAAAAAAUCUAACCUUGUAGUUGAUACAAUGAAGAUGUACUUCAAUACAAACAUGGACAUAUAGGGAAAAGUGUUCCCUUGGCAUAUUUUACUAGCCUUAUUAUGAAGUUAUGGUUGUAGAUUUAACGAACUUAAAGAAAAAGUGGAUGAUUUGCCUAUACACUUCAUAGAAAGGUUUAUAAAGAAUGAUGGGAAGUGUUUGAUCCAACUUUCUUAUACAUAGUAUACAUCAAUUCCCAUCAAUGAAAUACAUCCUUAGAUAAUAUAAAAAUUAUUAGAAGUUAGUAGGACAAAGUUUCCAUGAUCAUAACGAGUUGUCUAUAAAGGGAGUAUACAUUGAACAAUUUAUCCAAGAAAAGAAAAAAAUGAUAAUCCAAGAAAAUAACUAUUAGUUAUAAUGGGAGUUUAAUAGCCCAGAGGAUUAAACCCUCGAUCCAUUAUCCAGAAUAGAUAUGGGUAUUUAAUUGGAACCUGGGGUAAAGUUACCUCAAGCAUAUGCUCUCAUCAUAACUUUUUUUUAAAAGGCAAUAGUGAAAUCAAUCUAUAUUAUAUAAUAUAAGAAAAGAAGAUGUCGUGGAAAACUCAAAUUUGCCCAUUUCUCUUUUUUGCCACAUCUUUAACUUGGGGUAAUUUUGAUAUAAAAUUUACUUUUUUCAACUAAUGAUGUUACAUUGUUGUAAUCCAACUACAUAGUUAUUGUAUUAUGCCUUAACUUACUAGGAUUCGGUCAUGUGAUAAUGUCACUUGGUUCAUAUGUAAACACGAUUUGACUCUAUUUGAUUCCAAAUCAAUCUAUCAAAUAUAAACUUUUCUGGUUUUCUACACUUUAGCCAAUGUCUAAUCAACAUCACUUUUGUACAAUUUAUAGAUAAUUCACUAUUCCCAGAAAAUUAAUUCUCAUUUCUCUUUCUCUUCCAUACACAUUUUCUACUUUUCUAUCUUUCUCUUCCACCUUCACUAUUCUCUCCUGAUUCUUCAUCUCUCUCUUCCUCUCCUUCCUUCAUUCUCACAUAUAUCCCUUAUUCUAACCACCACUUUCUUCUUCUUUUCUUCUCAUUUUCUAUAACAUUUGACACAAACCCUAAAAAAAAUAAAGAACCACCACCACCACCUCUCUCACAUACUUCAUCUUCUUCACUCAUCGGUAAUUUCUCACUCUGUAACAUUCAUUUCAUGUUUUUCCAAACGUUUCUAUGUUUUUUCAUGUUAUAGCUGAUAUUUAUCGUUUGGUUCUGUUGUUGUUGAUUUUUGUUGUUGUUGUAGGUUUCGAGAAAUUAGAUCUGGUUGAUGUAAACUGUUUCAUCAACGUGUUGUUAAGAAGCUAUGUGGGUUAGUUACACCGUAACGAUAUUGUUUUGGGUUUUGUUUUAUUUUUUCUUUUGGGUUUCUGAUUUUUGAUACCUUGUACUUGGUAUAAGAAGUUAGAUCUAUAGUUUGAUUAUGUGAGAUAUGUUCAGUUGUGUGUUUUAUGUUUGGUUUUGGUUUUGUUUUUUGUUUUCCUCUUAUUUUGCAGCAAGUAUGUCUGAGAUUUGAAGUUGAAAAAUACCAGAAAAGUAUGUUAAAUGUAUACUACGUUUUAAUGGCUUACUUAGAUUAUAGAUAGUAGACUAACAAGUUUUAGCAUACAUACCUUAUAGGCUUUGGUGCAAUAGAAGAUUCAAAGUAUACAAGGUGUUUUUAAUUUAAGUUACUCAUUUUGCUGAUUGUUAUGAUUGAUUAAUAUGUCAGGAAGAAAUUGUGAAGAUUUAGGAGAUAUUUGAGCAAUAUUGGUAUAUCAUGUGUUGCACUGUAGUGAGUAUCUUCUUAUUGGUGUGUACUGAUAGCACUACUUGUCCUCUUAUUUUUAUUUUUUAUUUUGAAUGUUUAUGGUUGAUUUGUCAAUGGUAUGAAUUUUAUAAUGGCUUCUGUAAUCACUCAUCGUGAUGAAAAAAUGCUAUUGGUUAUCACCUAUGAAUCACCAUUUCAACUUGAAACACAUAAAAGCCACAACAUAGAUGUUCAUGUUUUGAGCUUAGCGUUUUUGUUGAUCUUUCUAGCUUAUGGAGUUGCUCAAAAUUUACAGAGCACUCUCAAUACUGUUAGUUUUCAUUUCUUUUAAUUCUGAUGUUGAAUUUUAAAGAUGGUGAGUAAUUGUGAUAAUUUAUUACUUUUUAUGAGGAGGAUUUGGGCACGACUUUUCUUGAUAUAAUUUAUUUUCUUCUUUGGUGGUGCGGAUUCUUGAAUCCGAGAAUGCUUUGAUUAUUGGAACUUAUGGUUAUUGGCUCUACGUGGCUGCGAAUUCCAAGCCCAACUGGUAACUGCAAGUGGGAGUUAUCUUGUUUAUGAUAUUCAUGUAUUAUUAUUUGUCAAUGGAACAAAUGUUCAUCAUGAAUGGGAGAUGAAAAACAGUUAGGUAUUCAUCAAGAAGAAGAAGAAGUUAGUUACAUUCAAGAGGAAGAAGAAAAAGAAAGUAUUGUUUCAUUGAUUAAUCAAUAAUGAUUACAACAUGGUUUAUAUAUACAAAAAAGUGAUAUGUAGUGUAAGCUAAGGUGUGUGCUCUGUACAAUAUAAUGUGUUAUUUCUAAUAUCCCCCCUCAAGGUGGAUUUUGGAUACUACAAAGACCAAGCUUGGAUAAAAGAGAAGUAAAGGUUGGUAGAGUGAGGACUGCCCCCACUUAUAAACACAUGUUCAUGCCAUAUAUUGUCCGAUGUGGGACUCUUAACACCCCCCUCAUGCCCAGGACUGGACAUCUGGAGCGUGGAAAUAAAUGGUGGAUGGCCCGAUAACGGAAACCAUAGUAGGUGGCCCACCGGAUCUUAAACCAGGCUCUGAUACCAUGUUAAGAAUGUGUGAUUUGGCCUAACUCAACCCUACAAAACCGGUUGGUAGAGUGAGGACUGCCCCCACUUAUAAACACAUGUUCAUGCCAUAUAUUGUCUGAUGUGGGACUCUUAACACACCCCCUCACGCCCAGGACUGGACAUCUGGAGCGUGGAAAUAAAUGGUGGAUGAUCCGAUAGCGGAAACCAUAGUAGGUGGCCCACCGAAUCUUAAACGAGACUCUGAUACCAUGUCAAUGGAACAAAUGCUCAUCAUGAAUGGGAGAUGAAAAACAGUUAGGUAUUCAUCAAGAAGAAGAAGAAGUUAGUUACAUUCAAGAGGAAAAAGAAAAAGAAAGUAUUGUUUCAUUGAUUAAUCAAUAAUGAUUACAACAUAGUUUAUAUAUACAAAAAAGUGUUAUGUAGUGUAAGCUAAGGUGUGUGUUCUGUACAAUAUAAUGUGGUAUUUCUAAUAUUAUUCUACUGUCAAAACCAUAAACAUGCACAGUGUUUGAUUUUGGUGACUUUAUCAUGAUUUUGUAUUAUAAAACAACUAUUAGUUACUAUUAUGGAUUUGUAUAGUAAAUAUUUCACUACUUUAGUUUUGCGCUUCCUUGAACAUUUCUUGAUUGAUAGGUAUCAUGAGAAAGAAAACAUGUUGUAAGUAAGGAGUGGUUUCUGAAAGUAUAUAUAUAUAAACAGCAAAGUAGAAAUACAAAAUAACAUUUCUCUGUUCUUAUGUAGCUUUUGAUUAGUUAAAUUUAAAUAGGGCAUUCUUUUAGUACACUAUAUGCCCCUAACUCAACAGUUUGAUUGAACUCUUAUUGAAUCUUAGGCAUACCAGAAAAUAGUGAAAAUAUCUAACUUCCACUACAUGCAGUAUAACAAUUUACAUGAAGGUGCAAUGGUUUGAGACUUCAACGGGGAAUAUUGGGGUGUUUAU
rnacentral:lncRNA from 1 species